GAGAGAGAGAGAGAGAGAGAGAGGAAGGGAGAGACAGAGAGAGUUGGAGAGAUAGACAACAAUAGACAGAGAAAGAGGGAGAGAUAGACAAAGAAAGAGGGAGAGAGAGACAGAGAGGGAGAGAUAGACAACGAAAGAGAGAGGGAGACAGAGAGGGAGAGAUAGACAACCGAAAGAGAGAGAGGGAGACAGAUAGGGAGAGAGAGACAGAGAGGGAGCGAUCGACAAAGAAAGAGAGAGAGGCGGUGCAGAGCGGUGUUAUGUCCUCCGGCGGGCAUGUGUUCUGCACGGUCUGCCCCUCCCAUGGGGUUGGGAGCGGGCCACAUGGAAGGGGAGGAGCCUGGAUCCCUCCGCUCUCAAGCCCACACAGACGACUGCACUGAGACGCACUCCAAGUGGGGCCGAGUACAAGAGGAAUACGAGUCAAUAUUUGACCAGACAGGACAGAAGAAGGGAGCAAGACACGGAUUGAAAGUGUUGAAAA